AUUGAACGCUGGCGGCAGGCCUAACACAUACAAGUCGAGCGGAUGAAGGGAGCUUGCUCCUGGAUUCAGCGGCGGACGGGUGAGUAAUGCCUAGGAAUCUGCCUGGUAGUGGGGGAUAACGUCCGGAAACGGGCGCUAAUACCGCAUACGUCCUGAGGGAGAAAGUGGGGGAUCUUCGGACCUCACGCUAUCAGAUGAGCCUAGGUCGGAUUAGCUAGUUGGUGGGGUAAAGGCCUACCAAGGCGACGAUCCGUAACUGGUCUGAGAGGAUGAUCAGUCACACUGGAACUGAGACACGGUCCAGACUCCUACGGGAGGCAGCAGUGGGGAAUAUUGGGCAAUGGGCGAAAGCCUGAUCCAGCCAUGCCGCGUGUGUGAAGAAGGUCUUCGGAUUGUAAAGCACUUUAAGUUGGGAGGAAGGGCAGUAAGUUAAUACCUUGCUGUUUUGACGUUACCAACAGAAUAAGCACCGGCUAACUUCGUG
rnacentral:rRNA from 1 species